rnacentral:rRNA from 1 species
GACAGAGGCCCCGAGCGUUAGGCGGAAUCACUGGGCUUAAAGCGUGUGUAGGCGUAUCGUUAAGUGUCUUGUGAAAUCCCACGGCUCAACCGUGGAACUGCUGGGCAUACUGGCGAUCUUGGGCCAUUCAGGGGCGACCGGAACAAGCGGUGGAGCGGUGAAAUGCGUAGAUAUCGCUUGGAACGCCGAAGGUGAAAACAGGUCGCUGGGGAUGUGCCGACGCUGAGACACGAAAGCCAGGGGAGCAAACGGG